rnacentral:rRNA from 1 species
CCUACGGGAGGCAGCAGUGGGGAAUAUUGCACAAUGGGGGAAACCCUGAUGCAGCGACGCCGCGUGAGUGAAGAAGUAAUUCGUUACGUAAAGCUCUAUCAGCAGGGAAGAAACACUGACCUUACGGUCAGCAGACGGUACCUGAGUAAGAAGCCCCGGCUAACUACGUGCCAGCAGCCGCGGUAAUACGUAGGGGGCAAGAGUUAUCCGGAUUUACUGGGUGUAAAGGGAGCGUAGACGGUGCGACAAGUCUGGAGGGAAAUGCCGCAGCUUAACUGCGGAACUGCUGUGGAAACUGGCGAACUAGGGUGCGGGAGGGGGAAGCUGAAUGCCUAGUGUAGCGGUGAAAGGCGUAGAUAUUAGGAGGAACACCGGUGGCGAGGGCGGCUUACUGGACCGUAACUGACGUUGAGGCUCGAAAGCGUGGGGAGCAAACAGGAUUAGAUACCCCAGUAGUC